CUGGCUUGCGCGCCAACGCCGUGCGCUUUCCAUGCGGACGUGAGGACCCACUGGCGACGGAGUUCCAUGCGCUUUGCCGCGUGGUAACGGAAAUGGCAAAGUGGGCGCCGAGGAAGAGCAGCGUCGCAAAUAGCUCGCCUCCUGCCAUUUCAAGGCUCCACUCCCUGGUUUCAGUCAGCAUUUCGGAGCUCAUUUCCGGCUCAUUGUCGCCUACUAUAGCACACCACAGCCCAAUUUAGGUUUGCCUAAUAACGAGAUUAGAUUCCGCAAUUACUUGGAUUGCUGCAGCACACUUUCAGUGCUCGUUUGGUUUUCAGUGGCUUUGCAACUAUAAUCUCGAGUUGUAAUUUAUGUCGGAUCUUCUGAGGGUGUGUUUAGCAGAAUGCUGUUCAGCAGUAUGAUUGCACAUUAGAAGAUGAUUCCACGUGAGACUGGUGACCUACUUCGGCAGCCCCCUCUAAUGAACCCUGGGGGGAUCUAUUAUUGCGCCUGCGUACAUCCAAGUUUAACCACUUCUUAAUGAACACUCGUGGGCUUUUAUGGC
rnacentral:lncRNA from 1 species